ensembl:lncRNA
GAGUGUGAGGAGUGUGUGAGGAGUGUGUGAAGAGUGUGUGAGGAGUGUGUGAGGAGUGUGUGAGGAGUGUGAAGAGAGUGUGAGGAGUGUGUGAGGAGUGUGAAGUGUAUGAGGACUGUAGCUGAUGUUUUAGCGAGGCUCAGUCACUGGGAUUUAGUUUCGGUCAUGUGCUGGGAUUGAAUUGUUACCGGCGCUGCACGUGAAUAUGAGAUUAUAUAGAAUUACAUGUCGGGUGUGUUUCAGGUGUAAUAAAGCCGUGUCUUUAUGUCCUGUCUGAAUGAUCAUUUUCAUAUUCACAUGAAUAUUAAGGACCAUUUUAUGUUUUAUAGCACGUCUACGCCAUUUUCUCCCCCUAGUUGUUGUAUUGGGAUGGAGUGUAAUUUGUAGGAUUAUUAUUGUAUAUUACUUAUACCCAAGGGCAUGUUGAAUACCACAGACUUCUGCCAGUUGGGUGCAGAUAUAAUUGAGCAAUUCAUCUUUCCAGAGAUAAUGUUCU